rnacentral:lncRNA from 1 species
UCAAAUCCAGAGGUUAAGCGUACUCUGGCAACUUUACGUAACGCAGAGUUUGGUUUUUUAGGGUUAAUAGUGGAAAAGUUGACAGAUAAGUAAUCCUUACUGCCACUCUACAGAACCGUACAUGAGAUUUUCACCGCAUACGGCUCCUCGUUCAAUUCUUUCGACGUAAUUCGAUCCUUUAUCCUCGUUCGAUAAUCUCCACUUCUUCCCCCAAACCCAAAAUCACGAGAACUAAUUAAGUCAGUCACGUUUUCAUGUUUGAAUUGAACACUUUUUUUUAUUCUCAAAGGAGAAAAUUAUUCUUUUUACUUAUUUCUUUUCUUUUUUGCCAUUAUUCCUUCGUUUCAUCCUGUAAGAUCUGACCCAUUUUCUUAUUCAUCGAAAGGUCAGGUACGGAAUAAAGAAGAUUGAUUUUUUGAUCAAAAGUACUAUAUGAAAUUGUUGGUUUUUUCUCUUUCUACCUAUGUUGUAAGUAUACUGUUUAAAUCAAUAUCAAUAGAAAACCUUUUUUUCUGUAUGAAUCAAUAUUAUUCCAUUCCAAUUCCUUGCCAAUAUUUCCCAAAGAAAAUACGGAAUUGGAUCUUAAAUUGACGGGUUAGUGUGAGCUUAUCCAUGCGGUUAUGCACUCUUUGAAUAGGAAUCUAUUUUGUGAAAAAUCCCGGCUUUCGUGCUUUGGUGGGUCUUUGAGAUCCUUUCGAUGACCUAUGUUAAAAAGAUAUCUAUCUAUUUAUGAUACGACGAUGAAUUGUGUAAAGCGUGUAGUAGCAACGGAACCAGAGAGAAUAUAUGGAAAAGACAGUUCUAUUGUAUACUAUUCUAUUAUUAUAUAUUAAUAUUAGUUAAUGAUCUCGGCUCAGCGAGUCCUUUCUUUCGUGAUGAACUACCUACAUUUUGUCGCUGUGGGCCGAGGAGAAAGGCAACAAGAGGAUUGUAACAUCAUAAAAGCAAGUAGAUCAACGUCUUUCCAAUAUACAACAUAGGUUUUGGCAAUGCAAUGUGGUUGGGCUCUCAUGUCCAUCCGAAUAAAUCAUCCUUUUCGCUGAAGUAAUUGCCUGCUAGACAAGAGGAUAACAAGUUCAAAAUUCUGUGUUAAUGGUCGGAUUACCCCUCUGUUUUUUGUUUUGUAAUGAUGAAUCUUAUAUGUGUUCCUAAAAAAAAUUUGUAUCUUUUUCAGGGUCUCGGGGAGAAGUGGAAACACAGAUGUAACUCCAGUUACUUCGUAAAUGAAAAAAUCUUUGUCACAAGAAAAAAGGGGUUCAUCCAUUUAAUCUUGCCUUCGUUCUGAUUUAUUUCUAUUUUUAAGAAUACGGAGUCGGGUUCUUACCCGUAUUGAAUAGAACACUGAGCUAAAUCUUCUUUAUUUAGAUCCGGAAAAUCCUAUGGUUUUAUGAAAUCAUAUGAUAUUGCGCAAAUCCAUAGUCAAUCCUAUUUCCGAUCGGAGCAGUUGACAAUUAAAUCUAAUUUUGCCCAUUCAGCUAAGAGUGUUCCACGGAGGCCCGUUUAAGUUAAAAAAAAAAANUAUGAGCAAGUGAAAUGGAAUAAAAGAAAUAACAAAAUUUUGAAAAUUUGUCAGUUUAUUUGAAUCAUGAGGAAAGUGUGAUUCAAAUCAAGGAGCUCAUGAUUUGAAUUAUGUACAAAAAUGAUUUGGAUCAAAUGCAACAGCCCCAACUGGAAAAUGCUGAAAAAGUGUAUGAUUUGAAUCAUGUUUAAAAUUUAUUCAAAUCAAAUCAAGCAGAAAUGAACAUCAAGAAAUUGAUUCGAAUCAUCUGUAAAAAAUGAUUUGGAUCAAAUGGUCCAAAACCAAUUAACAACCACCAACAAAUAAUUCCAAUGAACAUAUGAGCUAAACAACUAAGAAGCAUAUACAACAAUAGAGAUCUCAUAUUGAACAUAAAAAUAGACAUGUCACGAGCAACAAAAUACAAAUAGACAUGCAACACCAACAUUCAAUAGCUAACAAUUACGCGUUCAAAUGCACAUAAUUAGUAACACAUACUUAAAAGACUUAAAUGCAAAUAAGAACAAUUAAAGACACAAGCUAGAGAUGAAUGAGUAACAUAAAAGGGAAAUAAGCAAACCAAUGCAUGACUCUAGAACAAAAACUUAGAAUGAUAUAAACCGAAUACAAGGGUUAUAGACACAUAUUAUUGUAGCUCGGUAAAAACUACGAUUUACUACAAAAUAGUAUUAGUGAAACAAAAUAUAUAUAGAAAAUGAAACUAAACUAAACCCUCAUUCUAUUUAAGGCAUGAAAAGUAUAAGACUCCCAAAUCCCUACAAAUAUUGUGAAAGGAAUCCGUUGACAUGUCAUUGAAUGCAUUCGAUAAUUCAAUAUAAGUAUACUCAUUUUCAUAAUCAGAAUUAUAUACCUUUGAAGUUCCACUUUUCUUACGUGCUAUCAAAAAAAAGCUAGCACCCUCAUCAUCUAAACUCGAUCAAGAAUAGAAGGAGGAGCUCUCAUCCUCUUAUUCCCACAUAAUGUAGGCUUUGUGACCUUUGGAAUUCUUUCCCUUCGUCUUGUAGAAAUCCUUGUCUCUUUUUAUGAUGUUUGGUGAGACUUGGACAUGUGGUUAUAUAGUGUCCCAAUUUACCACACUCGUAACACGUGAUAUCAUUAUCAACUUUCUUGUGAUCUUUCAUGGGUGGAUGAGUAUUUAUGAAAUUCCUUAGACCUUAGUCGGUAUGCUUGAGCUAGUUUCUCUUAAGAUAUCUAUUAUAACGUCUGACGAAUAAACCCAUUUCUUCCUUUUUGGAAACUUCUUCGCCAAAGUUGUCACUUUCUUUCUUUGAUUUCUUCCCUUUAGAAGAUGAAUAUUUCAAAGAAAGAUCUUAUUUCUCUUAUUUAUAUUUCUCUUUAUUUUUUGAAUUUACUUCACUAUCGAUGAUUCAUUUCAACUCAUUCUCUGCUUGACUAACUUUCCAAAUAGUUUUGUAAUAUCCAAAGUAUUAAGAUCAUUUGAUUCUUUUAUAGAAGUGACUUUUGAUUGCCACUUCCUGCACAUGGAUCUCAAUAUUUUGUUAGUACAAUCUUUCUUGGAAAAGAUUGUACCAACUUAUACACUUUGUUGAUUAAAUGGAGGAAUCUAGUUUGUAUGGAAUUCAAGGACUCUUUGGGUCCCAUACGAAAUAGUUCAAACUCUUCUAUAAACAUAUUGAUUUCAUAAUCCUUGAUGUCAUCUGUUUCCCCAUAGAGAGUUUGGAGAGUGUACCACAUACCUUUAGCACUCAUAUGAUGUAAAAUUGAAUAGAACACUUUAGCGCUUAACGGAGAAACAAGUAUGUUCCCCGCUUUCAAAUCAUAUGAAGCCUUUUUGGUUUCAACAUCAUCCCAAUCGUUUGGAUGUUUAGCAACGUCAUCAUUUUCCGUUGGAAUAUUCGGUCCCUCGAUGAUGGCACACCACAUAUUUUUUUCAACUGAUAACAAGUGUACAUAUAUGAUUGGUUUCCAAUAACUAUAAUCUUCUCUUUUGGAAAUAGGUUCUCUAUUAUACGCUCCCUUAGGAUCGUCACCUUCUGACAUAUUCAUAACUUUUGGAUGUCGAUUAGACACAAUCAUGAAGCUAGCAGAAAUAUACCCGAACACAUCGCACGCUCGAAGAUACAACAGAGUUCCCAUCAAACUUUAUUUAUUCCUGUAGGAAAAGGAAAAUAUCGAUAAAACCCGGGGCAAGAGAAAAAGGGCAAGGAAGUCAGUUAUGCAAGGGGAAGGUAUUAGCACCCCUCAUAUUCAUUUUAUUAAAUAGGAACCGUUUUGAUUGUUUUAUGGUUGGAUGAGUGUUACAUCUAAAGAUUACUCACAAAAGAAUAAGGGAAAAAGAACGGAAUAGAUAGAGUGCUCGGUGAGGAUUAAGGCACUCAUGCCUACAUAUCCUUAUAGUGAAAUAAGGAAUUCAGAGCUCCGUAGUUCAUAAAACCAAUGACGGGAGAUGAAAGAAGAGUGAUAAAGGUAUGGUUUGAACCAAAUGAUAAUGUGGUUUGAACCCAGAGGGUAGGUAUGUCUGAACCCAAGAGGAAAACUGGCAUAUUGCCAAAACAAAUGGGUAUUGCUUGUAUACGGUUGCAAAGUAAGUAAAGAGAUGUUUUUCUAAGAAACGAGAGGGAUAACAAGACACAAGAGGGUUUACAAGGCAACAUGGAUUCAUCUAGGGACGAGAGUGUCGCAUCCUGCGAAAAAUCAACCGGCGGGACUCAAAUAAAAACACACACAGAGCCGCCACUGCGCGUUAUUUAUCCCAAGAUAGGGAAAGGAAACGCUCAGAGAAACCUGGAAAGGAAAUGGUCUUGCGACCAAAGAGAAAGGGUAAGGGNGGUGUGACACAAAUUGUCACACCUAAGUUCCAAAAUUCAUAACUCAAUCACCAGGAAUCCAAAAUUCACAAAAUUUACAUGUAAAUAACCAUCAACCAGUCUACAAUUACCACAAAAAUUUUCAAGCGUUUCUUUCACAGCAUGAGGAUUUCACAAUGGAUAUGGUAGAAUGUACCAAAAUAUAUCACAUGUUAAUCAACCCUAAGUCAAACACAAUUUUCACCAUGCACAACUUCAAUCAAUAGGUCAAUAAAAUUCUACAGUCAAUUAGGAAGUCAACAAAAAAAACCACAUAUUUUUCUGAUUUUUAAAUUAUUUUUUAUGAAUUUUUUAAAGUGUUUAUGAAUUUUAACAAUUUUUUAGAAUUAAAUUAAUUAAUUGGAUUAACCAAUGGCAUAGUCGUAAUUAACAUGACGCGGGGGCGGUAAACACUGAGUUCAAAUAUUCAAAUGGAAUUUCAGAUCAAACACCAUUUCAUCAUCGUUUUCAUUCCAGAUUUUCCAGAAAAAGCAAGAACACGAAGAACAUGAAAUCUCCACCAAAACUCACAAACGAAUGUCGUUGGGAACCGUCCCUCAACCAUAGAAAGUCCAAUAUCAUCCUAACUCAACCUAAUUGUUCCUAUAUCUAUGGAAUCGAAGGAGUAGGUGUUUGGUUUCAUACUUCCAAUCAAUGAUUUUCAGCCUACAGUCAUCAUUUACUAAAACUAAAGCAUCACGAGCUCUACAUGAAGAGGUUCUACAAAAACGCAAUAAAGCAUCAAAGAACAUGAACAUUCGAAAAAAUCAAAUACCUGGAAUGCAGCGAUGAAAACUUGGUGUUCUUCGUGCGUGUUUUCCAACAAACAGAUGUAGUAGUGUGAUAAGGAAAGUGAUGAUGCGCUCAGGUUCGAACAAAUCAGCUCCUAAUGCUCCAAAUCGCGAUUUGCAUGAAUGAUGCUUGUAGUGUGCAGUCACGAUUCAAAGCUCCUUUCGCUUCCAAAUCUUCAAAAACAGAUGGAGAUGAUGAUGAAUCAAGACCAAUGCUAAAGAAUUUCGCAAAUUGAGCAAGAAUGGAGGAAGUUUGAUGAAUUUGAGUGUGAAGUGUUCUUGAGAGGUUCUUGGAGAAUUUUGAUGAAUUUUGAUCUGAUUUUGGGAAAUGUGUUUUCUCCUUAUGAUUUAGAUGUGAUUAGGAUAUAUACUCAAGCUUAAUUACCACUUAAUCACACUAAUUACCAAAAAUAGAAAUGAUUAGCAAAAGUGGUUAUUUCAAGCCUGGGGCAAAUUGUAUUUCCACAUGCCAGCUCAUUGCCACCCUCAUGGACAGCUCACACAACUCUCAAAAUGACAUGUGUGAGUUGUUGCAACUUGUUUCACCUUCAUUUGGAUGAGUAUUUGAAAUUCACUAUGUUGAUGGCACUUUGUCCAUUUUUGCAAGUUCAUUCCAAAAGCUAUUUUCCAAACCAUGAUGCUUUAAACGUUAUGAUGAUUCCAACAAAUUUCAAAUACCAUUUGUGAAGUGUUGCAAAAUCCCCACUCAAAAAUCCAAUUAUUUCACACGUUGGACAAUUUUUGCCUAUGGUUCAUUUAACUGUCGCAGUUGAAAUUUGACUUUUUGCAUUGACCAUUUUUGAGAAAACCAAUUAUGCACCAUGAAAGUAUAUGUCAAAUGGAGUUUGUGCAUAUAAAGAAAUUCCAAUUUGGAUGCUCCAUGUGGAAGUUAUGGCCUCCUGAUUAUGGGUCAUUUUUAAUUUCACUGAGCCCUAAUUUUCCAACCAUACAUGGGAAUUUUCAAAGUUCUUGGACUUUUUGGAAAGGUGAGACCAAGAUCUACAACUUUCAUGUUGAACAAAUUUUGAUUUGAAGCUUCCUUGGACAUUUUAUUUUGGAGUCAAAAACUUUCCAUUUUUGGAAACUUCUAUUACAAGUCACUUUCCAUUUUUGGCCAUUUUUGUCCUGACUUGAUUUUCUUCAUUCUUAAGCUUUGAGAUGUCAUACAACACUUGUUCCAACUGAAUGAAGUGUAUCCAACUCAUUUCCAACUCCAAAUCCAUCAGAUCAUGUACAGUUGACCACAGUUGACUUUUUCACUAACAAGAUGAAUUUGGCAAUGCAUAGAUCAAUCUGAGCUCCUCCAAUCUCCUGAUGAAAUGCUCAAGGAUGAAACCCUAACUCAAUUAGCUCAAUACAACCACAUAAUGAUCCCCAUAUCCAUCAUAACCACAUCUCCUGAUUAUGCCCUGAACUGGCCCAAUGGUAACUGAUUAGGGUUGACCAGUGGUCAAAAACCUAAUCUCAAGAAUAAGCUUCAAUCUCCUGAUGAUGACAAACCAUGAUGAUGAUGAUGUAUCAUUGUAAUCAAGAUGAAGACCAAUAUCCUUUGAGAAUCAAACAAAACCCUAAUUCACAGCCCAAUCCUCAGAUGGCCAAUGAUCAGUCAAUAAAACCCUAGCUUGCACAUUAACUUCCUCAUCUCCUGAACAAGACUUGUGAGGAUGACUUGCACAAUGUAACCACAUGAUAUGCAAUAUGCAAUGCCUAAUGACCUAAAAAUGAUAUGCCAUAUGUUAAUGCUAGUCCCAAGAGAGGAGGGCAAAUUUUGAGGUGUUACAGAGAGGUCUUAUAAGACGAACAAUGAAUAAGAUAUGAUUUGCCUAAGCACAAUAGGAUUUACAAGGAAAAUAAGCUCAAAGGGGUUGUCUAAGCACAAAAGGUCUUAUAAGAGAACAAUGAAUAAGAGAUAAUUUUCCAAAACACGAGAGGGUUUACAAGGCAAAAGAGCUCAAGGGGUUUCAUAAGCAUGAAAGGUGUUAAAAGGAAAAUAAUGAAAAAGAGAGAGGGCUUAAGAAUAAGAGGACUGAUAAGACUCACAAUUAAUGAAUAGGGUUUGCAAAUGCACAAGAGGAUUGUGUAGCGGUAAAUUCAUGACCAUCAAGCUAUGGAUAAACUUAACAUCAAUAAAACCACAGUCGCCACUGCGCUUUUAUUAUUUCCAAAGGAAAAGUAAAAAGUAUGAAAAAACCCCAAAGAUAAGAAGUUUUCAAAUCAAAACUAAUAAAAUGCCAGAGAUUACAGGUAAGGGGGUUGGUUACACAGAGGGAAUGUGUUAACACCCAAAGUGUCCUAGGUACUCCUAGGGAGCCCUUUUUUGUGUGCAUAUGUUUUUUGGUAUAAAUGAUGUUUGAUAAAAUAUAGAGUGUGGGGAUGAGAAAAGAAUUCAUUAAUUAUCUUUUUGUUUUUGACAAGACCUUCGGUCUUAUGCCUACGUACCAACAUAAAAAUGAGAGAUCAAAAACUCGUAGUUCGUGGUAAAUAUUUCAAAGAAGUUGGUGAAUUAAUUUUAACAAAAGUUUAACUAGAAAAGGGCACAAAAAGGCCAAACAUUUGAAUGAGGUUGUUAGUUCUUUUUGUCUUUUGAAAUUUAGGUCAAUAUGGUUAAGUUCAUUUACAAAUUUGAUUUAAGAAAAAGUUUUUAAAAAAUCAAUGGCAUGAGGUCAAAGUUUCUAAUCGUUAAAACACGUUUAAGUUGGAAAACACAUGCAAAGAAUUUUUUUGAAAAGAGGGAGAAGUUUUGAAAUUUAAGAAGUGAGAGGAGAUGAAGAGACUAUCCUAAGAAUUUUUUUAAAAGUUAAGAGUUGAAAAGAUCUGAUCAAUGGGAUGCAACUCAACAAACAAGAAUGUCGUAUAGAAACACAUUUUCCUUUGGACUUUGAUCAAGAAAUAAAAAAUAAGUAAUGAGAAAUAUCCAAACAUCAUAAAGAUCAAGGCAUCAAAUAAAGAUAUACAUAUCCAAGUAAGCAUUCCAAUAGCUAGCAGUCUUCAGUGUCUUCCAAUGUAUUAGAUGAAAUAUUCCUUGAUUAACUCAGAACAAAACAUCUGACAUAGACAAUAACCAAAAUAACAAUUAAGCACCAAGACAAAGUAACAAAUGAAUCAAUGAGAUCAAAGGUCUUGCAUCAGAUGAAAGUCACUGUCAAAGAUAGCUCAGUCUCAGAUGUUGGCAUUGGCCAACUCCUUCAGCAUAGGGAAUGCUGCCUAAUUCUAAGUCCAAAGCUCAAAUCAAGUCGCAAUAGUCCAUAAAAUGUUUUUUAGGGUUUUUGUUGUUAUUAGGUGUUUUAGGGUCCUAAGACCACAAAAUCAAAACACACAAACAAAUAUAUACAAUCACAAGAUAUGGCUCAAGUGAGCAAAGUAAAAAAGGACUUAAACAUAAACAAGUUGUAUGAAAUGUAAAUGGCAAUGAAUGAUAAAUGACUGAAAUUUAAAUUGCAUAAAGUAAAUGACUUGAAAGUAAAAGCAUAAUGAAUAAGAGUUGGUCAAUGGUUAGUCAAAUGUUAGUGUUGAGUUUUAAUUGAUUAAGUCAUUCUUUGGAGAACACUCAACCAUUCAUUCACAAGUAUAAAUCCUUGAACCAAGACAUCUCCCACGAGAAGGGCUCCAACUUGGAUAACUCGACAAGUAUGCCACUAGCUCUCAUGAAAGGAAAAAAUUUCAAAUCUCUAUACAAUGCCAUGAAGAAUGGGAGACUUACAUUCUCACUUACUAGAAUGUUAUGCCUUCUUGAUCAAAUCUAGCUCUAUGUUAAGUAAUUGUAAUUGGACUUAUGUAGAAGUCACAACUAUCUGAGGCCGAGAAAUAAAAAUAUAGGUGUUAAUGCAUGUUAGAGACUUGGUACAAAGAACCAAACUCCUAAAAUAUACCACACACUAAAAGAAAAUGAGAGGGACAUAUCUCAAUCAGACUUGUAUUGAUUCAUCUGACACAAGGUCAUUAUGAAUCAAUUAUCAUUUAGACAUUAGAGAUUUCAUUGGUCAAAUAAGGGAAUGAGGAAGAAUAGGGAUGAAGAUGAAUAGGGAGGGGGAAAAUAGAAAUACAAAUUGAUCAUGAGAGGAAUUUCAUCUGAUCAAUACCAUCCAUUCAUUUUGGGAGAUAAAAUGUACAUUUUAUCAAUCCCCUAAAUCCAAUGGUUUUGAUCAAACAAAAGUCAAAUCAACCAUGACCAAAGGACCUUAGAUAAAAAUUUUCACAAUUUUUAGAAAGUCAGAAGUAUUUUAAAAUAAUUAAAAAUAUGCACAAAAACAUUUAAUUCAUGAAAAUACCAAAAUUAAUCCAAAAAAUAAUUUUAAUUCAAAAUAUGGAAGAGGAAAUUUUUUAAAGAUUUUUGGUGAAAGUCCCAUAUUUUUUGGAUUAAAAUGAAAUUUCUAUGAAUUAAACAAAAUAAGUGGAUUAAAUGAAAAUUCAGAAAAUACAAAAAAACAAGGGCCAUCAGAUCUCCCUCAUUAAUUGAGCUAGCAAAUAUGAUGGUCAAGUGUGCGCUUCACAUCAUGCACCUCAGUCAACGCAUCAUAGAGAUGGUAAUCAUAAGGAGCGAUCAAGAUUAAAACAUUUCAAAUGAAUCAGAAGGUUGAGAGAGUGCCAACGCACGACCGGAGCCCUAGCUCCGGUCUUCUUCUCCGGUGGACCUCACCUGACUGGUCCACCACCAACCUUCACCAAAAUAAAAAGUGUGGACAUGAUUUUAAAGGAAAAAUGCUCAGGAGCUCGAAUCUGACCUCCAUUUCAUCCAAUUCCAUUUAUUAUGAAAGAUACAUGGAUUUGAAAUUUGAGGUUCAUGAUCUGAGUUGCUUCGGUUUGACCUUAAAGCAACUCAAUCUUGUUGCCUACAUUGGUAGGACUUCAGACAACCAAUAAUCAAGUAAAAUAGUUGAGAAAUGAGGGAGAAUCGAAGAAGAGAAGUUUGAGAAAAAUCACCUUCGGGUAGCUUCAAUUCAUCUUGAUAUUGUUUCAAAUUUUCCUUGGCUCGACUCUAGAAGCUUGCAGGAAGUGAAAUGGAUCAAUGAGAGGCUUGGAUUCUUGGAGUUUCAAUCUCAAAACAGAAGGAGAAUUGAAACUCGAUUUCAAGUGAAAUCUUCAAGUUUAUCCUUUAAUGGAAGCUAGGGAUGCAAGGGUUCAAAGCUUGGGCAAAAGGGAUCCUCAUUCGAUCGCAAUGGUCAUGUAUAUAUAGCAUAAUAAGUUGCUUUUCACACACUUUGGAAUUUUGCCAAUUUUAGCAACUUUGGUGCAUGGAUGCAUAGGUAAUGAUUUGGGCCCAAUUCAUGAUGUGAUCUCACUCCAAUUCGUGCACAAUGAAUCUUGAAAUAAUAACAUGUAAGCAUGCAAAAGGAAAUGGUCAAUUGAAUUCAAAUCUUGCCAAAACAAACAUAUGAAAGGAACCAUGCGCAAUUCCCUCAAAUCUUGUCUAAAUUAAGUGAUCUUGGACUUUUCAGAAAGGUUAAAUCAAGGGGAACAACUUUGAUGUUAAAAACGUUUCCAUUUUAAGCUUGUAUCAUGAUGAAUUUUGAGGUGGAAGUUUGAGAAAUCAAACAUAAUUGAAAUUUUUUAAAGCUACCAAGUCAAAUGACCACUUCUUCCACCUUGAAUAACUUUUUCUAUGAGCUUCAAAUGAAAAUGGUUUCUUCACAGAAGUUGUAUCUUUUUCAUCUCUAUUUAAUUUGGUAAAAAAUUUGACCUCAUUUGGAUUUGGCAUGAGGGAGUUCUUCAUUUUAGAAGUUGAGGAAAAUUGCUUGUUCAAUGGUAAUGGCCCAAAAGGACCUAUAAUGUUUCCUCUUGGAACAUGCCCUUGCAAGUUGAAUUUUACAUUUCUCAAAUAAUAAAGGUUGAAGAGGAAAUAUUUAAAUUGAUCAUGAAACUUUGAUGGUCUUUAUAUCAUAAAAAUUGAGCGACUUAUGGUCCUUAGAAGUUGACCUCCUAAUUAGGACAUAAACAAAAUGACUUAUAAUCUUUCACCAUAAACAAUGACUUUCCAAGCAAAACUAGAUAUUGAUGUAAACAUUAAAGUUGUUUGGAAUGUCAUAAAGAGUAACUUUGAUCUUGGAAUCAUUUUCAUAUGACAAAAAGUGUAGGAGAUAGGGUCUAGGGAAUUCCAGUUUUGACCAAUUGACUUUCUUUGGUCAACCUCUUUGAACCAACUUGCAAACUUGGAGUUAUCUUGAUCUUUGGGACUCAUGGAGGAUAAUAUAUGCAUAAUAAGAUGUUAAAUUAAGUAUCCCUUGAUAUAUUGGAUCAAUUGUUGAAGAAACUUGUUGAGGAAGUCACACAAGAUACCCAUAUGAAUUAGGGUUUUCAAGGCAAACAAGCUUCAAACUCUUGAUGAUUUCUUGAUCCAAAUGAUAAAUAAAGAACAUGGGGAUCCAUAUAUGAAGUUAAUAACCAUUGUGAACCAUAUAUUGAUUGAUCUCCUUGCACUGAGGGUCUCAAGCUCUAGUUGUGAGCUUGAUAGGGCACAUGUGGAUGCACACACUACCUACAAAAGAAUCAAAGCUAUAUAUGGACAUAUUUUUGUAUUUUGGUUAGUAAACAGAGAACAAUAAAGUAUGAUACAAUCAAAUGUGCUUGGUGAUCUCUCCCAAAACAAAUCCAAUGAAUGGGGGGGGGGGGUAAGAAGGAUGCCAUGGUGUGAUCCCACAUCCAAUGCAAAUGAUGAGAUAGCAUGAGGGAUCUUAGGGUCAAAAUUGGGGUCUUACAGCUGCCCCUAUUUAAGGACAUUCUAACUGAGGAUGUGAAGGUUAAAAUAUUUGUAUCACCUCAGUGUAAUGGACUUAAAUAAAAACGUCAAGAAAAAAAUUUUGGUCCCUAAGAGACCUCAUGAUGCAUAUGAUAUGAAUGUUAAAAUAAUCUUUGUGGGGAAUAUAUUGCCACAAAGGAAAAGAAUUCGGAGAGACUGAAAGUCCAAAGAAGCAUAAUGCAUUCCAUAAGGAAAACUCACUGAGGAGACAUAGACUCUAGGGGAUAAAAUUCUAUGCAUAUGCCAGGCUACGACUUGAAAACUGCUAGAGACACGAGGGAUUUUCCAUA